rnacentral:sRNA from 1 species
UUUCUAAAUUAGGAUGAUUUGAUAUGUUUAAUAUUAGUGGUCUUAAAAAAUAAUAAUUAACCCGUAUUGAAACGGUGGAUUAAUUAUAUUUUACUUUUUUAUUAAUGUUGAUUCAAAAACCCGUCCCUCCAAAUCCGUCUUGCCAAAAAGCCAUUUAUUUUAUUAAUAUUAAUUUUAUUUAUGAUAUGACUCUGAAUUAUAAUCUAAACAUUUUAGCUAAUAACAUAGGAGUGCACCAUAUUUAUUUAAUAGAGGAAUGUACCAUAUGACCCGAAUAUAUUAGUUAAAUAUUAGUUAGCUUAAAUUAGUUAAAGAAUGCAAAUUGAAAAGGUAUAUUACACUUUAUUCGAAUCUAGUAUCAAAAUUUAUAUAACACACAGAUUUGAUAAUUUUUUAAUUGUUGAAUACUUUUUUUUUGUGCUAAUUUUUAUGUGAUUAAGAUUUAAUUGAUUUCGUAUAUAAAAUAUUAAAUUGUUUUACAAACUUAUUUGUUUAUAAUUUGGUAACAGAUAGAUAUUUAAAUAUUUGGUAUAUUUUGCUUCAACUUAGGAAAUCUUUGAUGACCCGUCUUUAGAUCCAAUAAGCCAUAUAAUUAAGAAAUGAAUAUUGUCGUUAAAUGAUUUUGGUAACCUUAAUGACGUCAUUAAAAGAUUUUUUUCUGAUUAAAUUUUUCUAUUGGCAUUGUCAUGUAAUUAAUUAC